AGGGUUUGAUCAUGGCUCAGGACGAACGCUGGCGGCGUGCCUAACACAUGCAAGUCGAACGGGGAUUACGAGGAGCUUGCUUUUUGUAAUUCUAGUGGCGGACGGGUGAGUAACGCGUGAGCAACCUGCCCUUCAGUGGGGGAUAACACAGGGAAACCUGUGCUAAUACCGCAUAACACAUAUUGAUGGCAUCAUGGAUAUGUCAAAGAUUUAUCGCUGAAGGAUGGGCUCGCGUCCAAUUAGGUAGUUGGUGAGGUAACGGCCCACCAAGCCGACGAUUGGUAGCCGGGCUGAGAGGCUCAACGGCCACAUUGGGACUGAGACACGGCCCAG
rnacentral:rRNA from 1 species